rnacentral:tRNA from 2 species
CGGGCCGUGGCUCAGCCUGGUAGAGCGCUUGCUUGGGGUGCAAGAGGUCACGAGUUCAAAUCUCGUCGGCCCGACCA